rnacentral:lncRNA from 10 species
UCCAGUUCAAAUGUGUCUCCCUGUGCUGACUUUAAGAUAGUACUUUUAUUAGAAAAGGUUUAAGGGAUGAAUUCUGGGAUUGGUAGAUUGGUGGAAAGAAAGAGGAGGUCUGAAAAGUCCUCAGGAAUGCAGUUAUCUUUCAUGCUACGUCAUGGGUCACAAGUGCAAAUUCAGGGGGAGUUAGGAUUUAACAUGUGGUGGAAACUCAGGCUAUAAUGUUAGCAAGUUUGUUCUGCACACACUGCUGUCAGCCAUAUUGGUUCCCAUCCAUUUCAGCUAGUUUUGUUAUCUUACAAGUGAAGGGAGUUUCAGCAGUUCAGCAAGUUGUUUCUUUUCUUAUCUGCCAUGAUUGCACAACAACAAAAUAACCUAAUGACACUUUUCUCAGGAUACAUCCCCAAUGUCAAGUGGCACAUGAUUCUGUGGUUUUUCAGGCUGUGUUUGCCAGUGGGAUGCCAAGAGAUGAUUUCUGGGGGCAUAUGCUUACCUCUUUUUGGCUUGGAGGUUAUUCAUGAUCUCUGCCUUGCCUCCUCCAAAUGGUGCUGUUUAUGACAGAAUGAUUUAUAUUCCUUUAGGUAUAUCCCCAGUAUUGGGAUUCUGGGGUCUAAUGAUAUUUCCAUUUUUAGGUCUUUGAGGAAUUGCCACACUGUUUUCCACAGUGAUUGAACUAAUUUACAACCUUCAAAACAGUGCAUAGGCAUUCCUUUUUCUCUGCUACCUUGCUAGCACUUAUUUAUUUAUUUUUGACUUUUUAAUAAUAGCUAUUCUGACUGGUGUGAGAAUCUUCUGCUUAACUCAGGAAUGUGUAGCUCCACGAGAGUAGCUCCCCAGCACCCAAAGAGAGCUUGAAGGAUUCAAAACCGUUAUGAACUUCCUCUUAAAAUGAACAUAUGUAGUUAUGUCUACAUGCAUCAGGGACUGACUGGAUGACUGAGGAUUCUUUGAAUUAACUUUUAUGAAGAUUACAACAUUUAUUAAAGAACAAGUAAUUCAAAUGUGCUAAUUUGUAACUUAAAUAAUAUGUUAUUGAAAAUCAAUAGUAAUCUGUGCAAUUAUUUAGAACUUAGACUAGUAGAAGCCUUUAAAGACAGGACUGUUUAUCAGUGAUGUUGCUUAGAAUUACUGGCAUACUUUGAUAAUAAAAAAGAGAUUAUUUUUAAGUUAGUUUUAUCAUUGCUUUUAAAUGCUCCACAAGCAAUGCACCUCCUUAUCCUAUUGCUCUGCCCUAGGUAAGUCCCUGGAAAUUAUAAUAGUAGUUAAUAUUUGUUGAGUAAUUCAGAGUUAAUGCAUGUUUAAUCAUUGUCAUGAAUAAAUCAGCUGAAUGAGUAGGAAUAUCCCAAAUGCCUUUCCAAUAUGUUUUUUGGUGGCUUUUGCCCAAGGUUUUUUUUUUUUUUCUCUUGGUUUAGAAGACUUAGGGCUGACUAUUCAAUACCAUUGAAAAUAUUAGAUCAAAGCAAAAAGAACAAAGCCAGAGGCAUCACAUUACCUGGCUUCAAACUAUACUACAAAGCUACAGUAAUCAAAACAGCAUGGUACUGGUGCAAAAACAGACAUACAGAAAAUAGAACAGAAUAGAUAACCCAGAAAUAAAGCCACACACUUACAGCCAUUUUAUCUUUGACUAAGUUGACAAAAAUAAGCAAUGGAGAAAGUACUCCCUAUUCAAUAAAUGGUGUUGGGAUAACUGGCUAACCAUAUGCAGAAUAAAGAGACUGAACACCUACCUUUUACCAUAUACAAAAAUUAAUUCAAAAUGGAUUAAAAUUUUAAAUGUAACACCUCAAACUAUAAGACUUUUAGGAGAAAACCUAGGAAACACCAUUCUGGACAUAGACCUUGGGAAAGAAUUUAGGGCAAAGUCCUAAAAAGUAAUUGCAACAAAAACAAAAAUUGACACAUGGAACCUAAUUAAACCAAAGAGCUUCUGCACAGCAAAAGAAACUAACAACAGAGUAAAAAGACAACCUACAGAAUGGGUAAAAUAUUCACAAACUUUGCAUCUGACAAAGGUCUAAUUGGGAAAAUCUAUAAGGAAGUUAAGCAAUUGAAAAAGCAAAAAUCAAAUUACCUCAUUAAAAAGUAGCCGAAGAACAUGAACAGACAGUUCUCAAAAGAAGACAUACAAGCAGCCAACAAGCAUAUAAAAAAUGCUCAACAUCAGUAAUUAUCAGAGAAUGCAAAUCAAAACCACAAUAAGAUACCAUCUCACACCAUUCAGAAUGGCUAUUAACAAAAAGUCAGAAAACAGCCUGCUGGUGAGGCUGUGGAGAAAAGGGAAUGUGUAUACACUGUUGGUGGAAAAGUAAAUUAGUUCAGUCACUGUGGAAAGCAGUCUGGAGAUUUCUCAAAAAAUUUAAAACAGAAGUAACUUUUGUCCCAACAAUCUCAUUACUGGGUAUAUAUCCAAAAGAAAAUAAAUCUUUCUACCAAAAAGACACACAUACUCACAUGUUCAUUGAAGCACUAUUCACAAUAUCAAAAACAUGGAAUCAACCUAGGUGCCCAUCAAUGGUAGAUUGGAUAAAGAAAAUAUAGUACAUGUACACUAAGGAACACUACACAGCCAUAAAAGGAAUAAAGUCAUGUUCUUUGCAGCAACUUGGAUGCAGUUGGAGACCAUAAUCCUAAGUGAAUUAAUGCAGGGACAGAAAACCAACUACUGCACAUUCUUGCCUAUAAGUGGGAGCUAAAUGUGGGGUACUCAUGGACAUAAAGAUGGCAACAAAUGAGAGUGGGGACUACUGGAAGGGAGGUUUUCCCCUGGAGGGUGGCAAGAGGUGAAAAACUAACUGUUGAGCACUAUGCUGACUUCCUGGGUGAUGGGUUCAAUCAUACCCCAAACUUCAGCAUCACAUAAUAUACCCAGGUAACGAACUUGCACAUAUACCCACCCUGAAUCUAAAAUAAAAGUUGAAAUUAUAAACUAACAUAAAAUAUAAAAUAAGUAGAUCAACAAGUUGAGUUGGGAUUGUAUGUGAUGGAAGGGAAGAACACAUGGGGUAAAGGCAAGUCUUUCAGGCUUAUUUCCUAUUUCUUUGAGCAUGGGUACUUGCAGCUCCAUUCCACUCUCUUCAUAAUUGUUUCCUCCACUAUCGAAUGACAACAUCAAAAUAUAUAAUAUUGGUAAAAGUAAUCAUAUUGUUUUCCUAUAUUCUUUACAUUAGUAUUAUGGAAAUA